GGCAACAUCGGUUAGUGGUUAUUCCGUUGGCCUGCUAUUCAGCAUCCUCCCCAGGAGUAGUCACAAUAACAAAGCCAAUGCCCUCGGGCGCGUGAGUUCGAAUCUCACUGUUGUCG
rnacentral:tRNA from 1 species